CACUAUGAAGCUUAGAGCGUUAACCUUUUAAGUUAAAGUUAGAGACUUUAAAUCUCCAUAGUGA
rnacentral:tRNA from 2 species